AUUGAACGCUGGCGGCAGGCCUAACACAUGCAAGUCGAGCGGAUGAAGGGAGCUUGCUCCUGGAUUCAGCGGCGGACGGGUGAGUAAUGCCUAGGAAUCUGCCUGGUAGUGGGGGAUAACGUCCGGAAACGGGCGCUAAUACCGCAUACGUCCUGAGGGAGAAAGUGGGGGAUCUUCGGACCUCACGCUAUCAGAUGAGCCUAGGUCGGAUUAGCUAGUUGGUGGGGUAAAGGCCUACCAAGGCGACGAUCCGUAACUGGUCUGAGAGGAUGAUCAGUCACACUGGAACUGAGACACGGUCCAGACUUCUACGGGAGGCAGCAGUGGGGAAUAUUGGACAAUGGGCGAAAGCCUGAUCCAGCCAUGCCGCGUGCGUGAAGAAGGUCUUCGGAUUGUAAAGCACUUUAAGUUGGGAGGAAGGGCAGUAAGUUAAUACCUUGCUGUUUUGACGUUACCAACAGAAUAAGCACCGGCUAACUUCGUG
rnacentral:rRNA from 1 species